rnacentral:lncRNA from 1 species
AAAAAUGUCUCAAGAAAAGGGGAUCUUCCUACCAUCUAACCAGAAGCAUGCAAAAGAAAAAUCAAACCCAUUGGGAGCCACCCUUUUAGCCGAUCCUGUACAUGUCCACUACCUCUUCCAAACUGAACCCCUUGCCGAAGAAAAACUGGGGCAACUUUGUGAACNUCUCGCAAAUUUUUCAUCAACCCAUACCACGAAAAAAACUGGGGCAGCUUUGUAAGUCUCACACAAAAUUUCAUCAAUCCAUAAUCCCAUGACUGGAGCAACUUUGCAAGUCUCACUCGAUUUUGUGUCACCAAUUUUCAUGGAUCCAAACCCCAGCUCAUUUUCCUAAACACAAAACCGGGGCAAAAUUUUUGAUAUAUUGUGUUUCGUCUUGACACCCAUUUGAGGAUUGGAGUACCCAUGUGCUGGUCCCAGUCUUUCAAACCAUUUCAAAUGACUCUCAUU